rnacentral:rRNA from 1 species
GAUCCUGGCUCAGGAUGAACGCUAGCUACAGGCUUAACACAUGCAAGUCGAGGGGCAUCGGGAAGAAAGCUUGCUUUCUUUGCUGGCGACCGGCGCACGGGUGAGUAACACGUAUCCAACCUGCCCUUUACUCGGGGAUAGCCUUUCGAAAGAAAGAUUAAUACCCGAUAGCAUAAUGAUUCCGCAUGGUUUCAUUAUUAAAGGAUUCCGGUAAAGGAUGGGGAUGCGUUCCAUUAGGUUGUUGGGUGAGGGUAACCGG